UCGAGCGGUAUUGUUUCUUCGGAAACGAGAGAGCGGCGCACGGGUGCGGAACACGUGUGCAACCUGCCUUUAUCUGGGGGAUAGCCUUUCGAAAGGAAGAUUAAUACCCCAUAAUAUUUUGAAUGGCAUCAUUUAGAAUUGAAAACUCCGGUGGAUAGAGAUGGGCACGCGCAAGAUUAGAUAGUUGGUAGGGUAACGGCCUACCAAGUCAGUGAUCUUUAGGGGGCCUGAGAGGGUGAUCCCCCACACUGGUACUGAGACACGGACCAGACUCCUACGGGGACGCAUCAGUGAGGAAUAUUUGGACAAUGGGUGGAGAGCCUGAUCCAACCCAUCCCGCGUUGAAGGACCGACGGCCGCUAUGGGUUUGUAAACUUUGCUGUGGUGGCAGGGGAUAGACCCUUUCCUAGGUGGUGGAAAAGCUGAAAGGUACUGGUACGAAAUAAGG
rnacentral:rRNA from 1 species